UCAGCCAUGCCGCGUGUGUGAAGAAGGCCUUUUGGUUGUAAAGCACUUUAAGCGAGGAGGAGGCUACCGAGAUUAAUACUCUUGGAUAGUGGACGUUACUCGCAGAAUAAGCACCGGCUAACUCUGUGCCAGCAGCCGCGGUAAUACAGAGGGUGCAAGCGUUAAUCGGAUUUACUGGGCGUAAAGCGCGCGUAGGUGGCCAAUUAAGUCAAAUGUGAAAUCCCCGAGCUUAACUUGGGAAUUGCAUUCGAUACUGGUUGGCUAGAGUAUGGGAGAGGAUGGUAGAAUUCCAGGUGUAGCGGUGAAAUGCGUAGAGAUCUGGAGGAAUACCGAUGGCGAAGGCAGCCAUCUGGCCUAAUACUGACACUGAGGUGCGAAAGCAUGGGGAGCAAACAGGAUUAGAUACCCUGGUAGUCCAUGCCGUAAACGAUGUCUACUAGCCGUUGGGGCCUUUGAGGCUUUAGUGGCGCAGCUAACGCGAUAAGUAGACCGCCUGGGGAGUACGGUCGCAAGACUAAAACUCAAAGGAAAUUGACGGA
rnacentral:rRNA from 1 species